UACGUAGGGUGCGAGCGUUAAUCGGAAUUACUGGGCGUAAGCGUGCGCAGGCGGUUUGUAAGCCAGAUGUGAAAUCCCCGGGCUCAACCUGGGAAUGGCAUUUGGGACUGCAAGGCUGGAGUUUGGCAGAGGAGAAUGGAAUUCCUGGUGUAGCGGUGAAAUGCGCAGAUAAUCAGGAAGAACACCCGUGGCGAAGGCGGUUCUCUGGGACGGUACUGACGCUGAGACGCGAAAGCGUGGGGAGCGAACAGG
rnacentral:rRNA from 1 species